UACGGAGGGUGCAAGCGUUGUUCGGAUUUACUGGGCGUAAAGGGCGCGUAGGCGGCCACGACAAGUCACUUGUGAAAUCUCCGGGCUUAACUCGGAACGGUCAAGUGAUACUGUCGGGCUAGAGUGCAGAAGGGGCAACUGGAAUUCUCGGUGUAGCGGUGAAAUGCGUAGAUAUCGAGAGGAACACCUGCGGCGAAGGCGGGUUGCUGGGCUGACACUGACGCUGAGGCGCGAAAGCCAGGGGAGCGAACGGG
rnacentral:rRNA from 1 species